rnacentral:rRNA from 1 species
UACGGAGGGUGCAAGCGUUAUCCGGAUUCACUGGGUUUAAAGGGUGCGUAGGCGGAUAGGGAAGUCCGUGGUGAAAUCCUGCAGCUUAACUGCAGAACUGCCGUGGAUACUCUCUAUCUUGAAUAUCGUGGAGGUUAGCGGAAUAUGUCAUGUAGCGGUGAAAAUGCUUAGAUAUGACAUAGAACACCCAUUGCGAAGGCAGCUAACUACGCGAUCAUUGACGCUGAUGCACGAAAGCGUGGGGAUCAAACAGG